UCCAGACUCCUACGGGAGGCAGCAGUGAGGAAUAUUGGUCAAUGGGCGGGAGCCUGAACCAGCCAAGUCGCGUGAGGGAAGACGGUCCUAUGGAUUGUAAACCUCUUUAGGCGGGGAGCAAUGCCGGGCACGUGUGCCCGGAGGGAGAGUACCCGCAGAAUAAGCAUCGGCUAACUCCGUGCCAGCAGCCGCGGUAAUACGGAGGAUGCGAGCGUUAUCCGGAUUUAUUGGGUUUAAAGGGUGCGCAGGCGGCACGGCAAGCCGGGGGUCAAAUCGCGGGGCUCAACCCCGCCCAGCCGUCGGAACUGCCGGGCUAGAGUGGGCGAGAAGUGCGCGGAAUGCGUGGUGUAGCGGUGAAAUGCAUAGAUAUCACGCAGAACUCCGAUUGCGAAGGCAGCGCACCGGCGCCCUACUGACGCUCAGGCACGAAAGCGUGGGUAUCGAACAGGAUUAGAUACCCCUGUAUC
rnacentral:rRNA from 1 species